rnacentral:rRNA from 1 species
CCUUGCCAGCCCGCUCAGAACUCAAAGGAAUUGACGGGGCCCGCACAAGCGGUGGAGCAUGUGGUUUAAUUCGAUGAUACGCGAGGAACCUUACCUGGGCUCGAACGUAAGAUGACUGUAGGUGAAAGCUUACAUCUCUUCGGAGCAUUUUACGAGGUGCUGCAUGGUUGUCGUCAGCUCGUGCCGUGAGGUGUCGGGUUAAGUCCCAUAACGAGCGCAACCCCUACCUUUAGUUGCCAUCAGGUAAUGCUGGGGACUCUAAAGGAACUGCCUACGCAAGUAGUGAGGAAGGCGGGGAUGACGUCAAAUCAGCACGGCCCUUACGUCCAGGGCUACACACGUGCUACAAUGGCCGAUACAGAGGGCAGCUACCUGGUGACAGGAUGCAAAUCUCCAAAGUCGGUCUCAGUUCGGAUCGGAGUCUGCAACCCGACUCCGUGAAGUUGGAUUCGCUAGUAAUCGCGCAUCAGCCAUGGCGCGGUGAAUACGUUCCCGGGCCUU